AUCUAACUGACGAGUCCUAAUUAGGACGAAACGCGCGUCCUGGGU
rfam:Schistosoma mattheei strain Denwood, Zambia genome assembly, scaffold: SMTD_scaffold0021624